rnacentral:rRNA from 1 species
UACGUAGGGUGCAGGCGUUAAUCGGAAUUACUGGGCGUAAAGCGUGCGCAGGCGGUUUGCUAAGACAGGUGUGAAAUCCCCGGGCUAACCUGGGAACUGCGCUUGUAACUGGCAAGCUAGAGUGUGGCAGAGGGGGGUGGGAAUUCCACGUGUAGCAGUGAAAUGCGUAGAGAUGUGGAGGAACACCGAUGGCGAAGGCAGCCCCCUGGGCUGGAACUGACGCUGAGGAGCGAAAGCGUGGGGAGCGAACAGG